rnacentral:ncRNA from 1 species
UUAGAUAUAAAAUCUAAUAUGAAUCAAUAAAUUUAAGUUAAAUGGCUGAAUUGUUCAAUUUAUUUGUAAGAUAAAUUUGAUCGCUGUGUGAUAUUGUGGGCUAUAGACGUGCCACAUAUUCCUAGACAAAGAGAUGCAAAAAUGUGAAUUUAAGCUAAUCUCUAAAAAUAGGAUAUAAAUUUUAAGGAUUAUAGUCUGAAACUCGACUAUAUGAAUAAGUAAUUACUAGUAAUCGUGAAUCACCAUGUCACGGGGAAUUUACCUUGGAUUGGUACUAACCACUCGUCACAUGCUGAAAAGAGCAUGCGCAAUAAGUUUGCUUUCUUGAUGAUCAGUAAAAAGAAUAAGCAGGUUCUAUAUUCUAUUAUUAAGAAUCUUCGUAUGCGUGGCUCUAAUUAGUGUUAAGUCGAAAUACGGUUCGCGUAGUGGAAGUUGCGCGGG